rnacentral:lncRNA from 1 species
UUUUUAUAAAACGUGAGGCGCUCCAAGGAAAUUAGGUCUCGAAAGCUGAGGCGCAGGUGAGAGGUGAGAGCUUCACGUACACGCAACGUGUUGCUUUACUACGACUAAAUAAGCUUUAUGUAAAACCGUAACCUGUAUCUCUCUCAUUUUUUUACAUAUCAUCCUUUUAUCAAGUAAACCAUUCGUAGUUUCUUCAACCCAUUUGUUGUUUUUACACAUCAGUCUCCUCCGAUAGACCCUAUUUUCGACCAGUUUUGACCCAGAUGUGCAUGAGGCUCCGCCUCAAGACCCUGAGGCAUUUUCCAAUUUCCAGAUCACCUCGGCGUGGCUUGCGCCUUAGGAACGCAUGAGGUGCAUUUUUUAUAACAAGUAUCAAGAGAUUAUCAACAACGCCGACCGAACUUUCAGUUGAUCUUGCUAAAUCUUGGCAGUGUUCAUUUUCUUUCUGUAAGAUCUAUGAUACUCGGCUUAUGUUUAUAUACUUGAAAUUUAAGUGGUCCAGAUAAAGAAUUAAAAUACAUGGAAAACUGCUCUUCUAAUAUUUGUGGUACCACAGUUGAAAUUCAUGGCAUACUUGAUCACCAUAAAAGAUUAUACAGUGGUGACUCUCAUGGAAAUUUAAGUUAG